CCUACGGGUGGCAGCAGUGAGGAAUAUUGGUCAAUGGGCGCAAGCCUGAACCAGCCAAGCCGCGUGAAGGAAGACUGCCCUAUGAGUUGUAAACUUCUUUUGUAAGGGAGUAAAGUGGGAUACGUGUAUCCGUUUGUAAGUACUUUACGAAUAAGGAUCGGCUAACCCCGUGCCAGCAGCCGCGGUAAUACGGGGGAUCCGAGCGUUAUCCGGAUUUAUUGGGUUUAAAGGGAGGGUAGGGGGGCGGUUAAGUAAGUUGUGAAAUUUCGGGGCUCAACUUUAAAAUUGCAAUUGAUACUGGCAGGCUAGAGUGUAGUUGAGGUAGGCGGAAUUCAUGGUGUAGCGGUGAAAUGCUUAGAUAUCAUGAAGAACACCGAUUGCGAAGGCAGCUUACUAAGCUGCUACUGACGUUGAUGCACGAAAGCGUGGGGAGCAAACAGGAUUAGAUACCCGUGUAGUC
rnacentral:rRNA from 1 species